AGGGAUCAUUACUGAGUUUACGCUCUAUAACCCUUUGUGAACAUACCUAUAACUGUUGCUUCGGCGGGUAGGGUCUCCGCGACCCUCCCGGCCUCCCGCCUCCGGGCGGGUCGGCGCCCGCCGGAGGAUAACCAAACUCUGAUUUAACGACGUUUCUUCUGAGUGGUACAAGCAAAUAAUCAAAACUUUUAACAACGGAUCUCUUGGUUCUGGCAUCGAUGAAGAACGCAGCGAAAUGCGAUAAGUAAUGUGAAUUGCAGAAUUCAGUGAAUCAUCGAAUCUUUGAACGCACAUUGCGCCCGCCAGCAUUCUGGCGGGCAUGCCUGUUCGAGCGUCAUUUCAACCCUCAAGCUCUGCUUGGUGUUGGGGCCCUACAGCUGAUGUAGGCCCUCAAAGGUAGUGGCGGACCCUCCCGGAGCCUCCUUUGCGUAGUAACUUUACGUCUCGCACUGGGAUCCGGAGGGACUCUUGCCGUAAAACCCCCCAAUUUUCCAAAGGUUGACCUCGGAUCAGGUAGGAAUACCCGCUGAA
rnacentral:rRNA from 2 species